CCUGCCGUCGCUGUAUGAAAAUUGCGGAAUAGACCCCACACGCUUGCAAGUCCAUACCCUCGUGCCAUCCACGUCUCUCUAAUAAAAUAACCACUGUUUUAUCUCAAUGAAUGCCGUGUCAGCCGCAACCACUGAUCCAAUUUUAUAAAAAGAACAUCAAAUCACUGAAUCAUCACCAAUUUGUAAUCAUCGUCAACCGUCCGAUUCUCCAUCAUAGGAUUCCGUAAAAAAAGAAAAAGAAAAGAAGAACAUAGAGCCACUCGAUGCCGGUUGUAACGGUAAUUUAAAGGGAAAAAGAAAAAGGAGAACCCACAACAAACUCUCCCAGCUCUUAUUUGCCAACUCACGCACGUUUCCUCCUCCCCACCGCC
rnacentral:lncRNA from 1 species